UAGGGAAUCUUCCGCAAUGGACGCAAGUCUGACGGAGCAACGCCGCGUGAGUGAAGAAGGUUUUCGGAUCGUAAAACUCUGUUGUUAGAGAAGAACAAGUGCUAGAGUAACUGUUAGCGCCUUGACGGUAUCUAACCAGAAAGCCACGGCUAACUACGUGCCAGCAGCCGCGGUAAUACGUAGGUGGCAAGCGUUGUCCGGAUUUAUUGGGCGUAAAGCGAGCGCAGGCGGUUCCUUAAGUCUGAUGUGAAAGCCCCCGGCUCAACCGGGGAGGGUCAUUGGAAACUGGGGAACUUGAGUGCAGAAGAGGAGAGUGGAAUUCCAUGUGUAGCGGUGAAAUGCGUAGAUAUAUGGAGGAACACCAGUGGCGAAGGCGACUCUCUGGUCUGUAACUGACGCUGAGGCUCGAAAGCGUGGGUAGCAAACAGGAUUAGAUACCCUGGUAGUCCACGCCGUAAACGAUGAGUGCUAAGUGUUGGAGGGUUUCCGCCCUUCAGUGCUGCAGUUAACGCAUUAAGCACUCCGCCUGGGGAGUACNANNNNAAGGUUG
rnacentral:rRNA from 1 species